AAAGAUGAAGCGAGAGAGAUGAAGACUGAAGCUUGCUGAAUAAACUGCUGUCAGAAGAACUGGUGGUCGUGUCGUUCUUGCUGAUUGAGAGCGGAUGCGACAAGGGCCUUCCCACCUCAGGUGCACUGUGAACAAUCAAGAGCUUCUGAAAGAGAAAAUCUUUCUGGAGAGAAGGCCUUGAGCCCAUGAGCUGUCAAAGACAGUGACACCUGUGAAGAGAUCUUUUCUGUACCCACUGACAACAUGGAAAGAUGUGGAAACCAAGGAGCUAGCUUCCCGGAUGUGCUAUUUCUACCUAUCUACACUGGGACAUCAUUGUUAAAAGGCAGGCCCUCUGCAAAACACGCCAGCACUGAGCAGCACAACGCUAAUCAGGUGGUCAAAAUCACAUCCAGAAACACCCAACAUCUGCUUCCCAUCAUGAGAAGGCUGUGUGCCAACUGCAACUCAGUCAACAUGUUGUAUUGGCAAUGGUUUCUGCUA
rnacentral:lncRNA from 1 species